CCUACGGGUGGCAGCAGUGAGGAAUAUUGGUCAAUGGACGAGAGUCUGAACCAGCCAAGUAGCGUGAAGGAUGACUGCCCUAUGGGUUGUAAACUUCUUUUAUAUGGGAAUAAAAUGUUCCACGUGUGGGAUUUUGUAUGUACCAUAUGAAUAAGGAUCGGCUAACUCCGUGCCAGCCGCCGCGGUAAUACGGAGGAUCCGAGCGUUAUCCGGGUUUUUUGGGUUUAAAGGGAGCGUAGGUGGAUUGUUAAGGCAGUUGUGAAAGUUUGCGGCUCAACCGUAAAAUUGCCGUUGAAACUGGCAGUCUUGAGUACGGUAGAGGUGGGCGGAAUUCGUGGUGUAGCGGUGAAAUGCUUAGAUAUCACGAAGAACUCCGAUUGCGAAGGCAGCACACUGGACUGCAACUGACACUGAGGCUCGAAAGUGUGGGUAUCAAACAGGAUUAGAUACCCCAGUAGUC
rnacentral:rRNA from 1 species